rnacentral:rRNA from 1 species
UUUAUGAUUCAGAGACUAAGCGAAAGUGAUAAGUUAGCCACCUGGGGAGUACGUUCGCAAGAAUGAAACUCAAAGGAAUUGACGGGGGCCCGCACAAGCGGUGGAUUAUGUGGUUUAAUUCGAUGAUACGCGAGGAACCUUACCAAGGCUUAAAUGGGAAUUGACAGGCUUAGAAAUAGGCUUUUCUUCGGACAAUUUUCAAGGUGCUGCAUGGUUGUCGUCAGCUCGUGCCGUGAGGUGUUAGGUUAAGUCCUGCAACGAGCGCAACCCCUGUCACUAGUUGCCAUCAUUCAGUUGGGGACUCUAGUGAGACUGCCUACGCAAGUAGAGAGGAAGGUGGGGAUGACGUCAAAUCAUCACGGCCCUUACGCCUUGGGCCACACACGUAAUACAAUGGCCAGUACAGAGGGCAGCUACACAGCGAUGUGAUGCAAAUCUCGAAAGCUGGUCUCAGUUCGGAUUGGAGUCUGCAACUCGACUCUAUGAAGCUGGAAUCGCUAGUAAUCGCGCAUCAGCCAUGGCGCGGUGAAUACGUUCCCGGGCCUUGUACACACCGCCCGUCAAGCCAUGGAAGUCUGGGGUACCUGAUAGUCUGGUGACCGUAACAGGA